rnacentral:rRNA from 1 species
UGGGGAAUUUUGGACAAUGGGGGAAACCCUGAUCCAGCCAUCCCGCGUGUGCGAUGAAGGCCUUCGGGUUGUAAAGCACUUUUGGCAGGAAAGAAACGUCAUGGGUUAAUACCCCGUGAAACUGACGGUACCUGCAGAAUAAGCACCGGCUAACUACGUGCCAGCAGCCGCGGUAAUACGUAGGGUGCAAGCGUUAAUCGGAAUUACUGGGCGUAAAGCGUGCGCAGGCGGUUCGGAAAGAAAGAUGUGAAAUCCCAGAGCUCAACUUUGGAACUGCAUUUUUAGCUACCGGGCUAGAGUGUGUCGGAGGGAGGUGGAAUUCCGCGUGUAGCAGUGAAAUGCGUAAAUAUGCGGAGGAACACCGAUGGCGAAGGCAGCCUCCUGGGAUAACGCUGACGCUCAUGCACGAAAGCGUGGGGAGCAAACAGG